UAGUGCAGCAACUUUGAUGAUGAAUUGUACCCUCACCAUUCACUCACACACAGAGGAAGUGGAAGCUUACAAGCAGUCCAUGAGUGGGAAAUUAGCGGGCAUUCAACAGCCUACAAUAGAUGAGAUGAGAAGGCACAUUCACAACAACAGUUAUAGACCAAAUAUCCCUAAAAAAUUCGAUGUAUUUCCUGAGCUAGUCAAACUUGUACAAGACUUGUGGAGUGACGCUGCUGAGACCAGGCCGAAAGCAGAAGCAGCCUACAAUGCUUUUAUUGAAUUUGGGUUGUUAAUUGCACCUCCCAGUCAAGCCUCGGCUUCAGCCUCGUGCACAGCUGAACAUGUACAUCUAUCCCACCAACCCUCCCUAGAGAUUGCAGAGACUGCAUUUUAACUAUAUACUGUCUUAGGUCUAUACCGACAUUGUGAGUUUAACACUGGCCAUGGUUGACUUGUUGAAGAACCUGUAUAUAUAGCUUUUAAUGUUGUGACUGUAGUAUUUAUUGUCAGUAGAACGGUUCUGUGCAGUGUGCAGUUUUGUUAUUGUCUAGUAUUUAUUGUCAGUAGAACCUGUACAGUUUUUUUUGUCAGUAGAACCUGUGCAGUGUGCAGUUUUGUUAUUGUCUAGUAUUUAUUGUCAGU